rnacentral:rRNA from 1 species
UACGUAGGCAGCAAGCGUUGUUCGGAAUUACUGGGCGUAAAGGGUGCGUAGGCGGCUUUUUAAGUUUGGUGUGAAAUCUCCCGGCUCAACUGGGAGGGUGCGCCGAAUACUGAGAAGCUAGAGUGUGGGAGAGGAAAGUGGAAUUCCUGGUGUAGCGGUGAAAUGCGUAGAUAUCAGGAGGAACACCGGUGGUGUAAACGCUUUCUGGACCAUAACUGACGCUGAGGCACGAAAGCGUGGGUAGCAAACAGG